GUCGAGCGGAAACGAUGAUAGCUUGCUAUCAGGCGUCGAGCGGCGGACGGGUGAGUAAUACUUAGGAAUCUACCUAGUAGUGGGGGAUAGCACGGGGAAACUCGUAUUAAUACCGCAUACGACCUACGGGAGAAAGGGGGCAGUUUACUGCUCUCGCUAUUAGAUGAGCCUAAGUCGGAUUAGCUAGAUGGUGGGGUAAAGGCCUACCAUGGCGACGAUCUGUAGCUGGUCUGAGAGGAUGAUCAGCCACACCGGGACUGAGACACGGCCCGGACUCCUACGGGAGGCAGCAGUGGGGAAUAUUGGACAAUGGGGGAAACCCUGAUCCAGCCAUGCCGCGUGUGUGAAGAAGGCCUUUUGGUUGUAAAGCACUUUAAGCAGUGAAGAAGACUCUUCGGUUAAUACCCGGAGACGAUGACAUUAGCUGCAGAAUAAGCACCGGCUAACUCUGUGCCAGCAGCCGCGGUAAUACAGAGGGUGCAAGCGUUAAUCGGAAUUACUGGGCGUAAAGGGAGCGUAGGUGGCUCGAUAAGUCAGAUGUGAAAUCCCCGGGCUCAACCUGGGAACUGCAUCUGAUACUGUUGAGCUAGAGUAUGUGAGAGGAAGGUAGAAUUCCAGGUGUAGCGGUGAAAUGCGUAGAGAUCUGGAGGAAUACCGAUGGCGAAGGCAGCCUUCUGGCAUAAUACUGACACUGAGGCUCGAAAGCGUGGGUAGCAAACAGGAUUAGAUACCCUGGUAGUCCACGCCGUAAACGAUGUCUACUAGUCGUUGGGUCCCUUGAGGACUUAGUGACGCAGCUAACGCAAUAAGUAGACCGCCUGGGGAGUACGGCCGCAAGGUUAAAACUCAAAUGAAUUGACGGGGGCCCGCACAAGCGGUGGAGCAUGUGGUUUAAUUCGAUGCAACGCGAAGAACCUUACCUGGUCUUGACAUAUCUAGAAUCCUGCAGAGAUGCGGGAGUGCCUUCGGGAAUUAGAAUACAGGUGCUGCAUGGCUGUCGUCAGCUCGUGUCGUGAGAUGUUGGGUUAAGUCCCGCAACGAGCGCAACCCUUGUCCUUAGUUACCAGCGGGUUAAGCCGGGAACUCUAAGGAUACUGCCCGUGACAACUGGAGGAAGGCGGGGACGACUUCAGUCAUCAGGGCCCUUACAACAGGGCUACCACGUGCUACAUGGUAGGUAC
rnacentral:rRNA from 1 species